GACUGUGUAGCUCAGUUGGUAGGGCCACGUGACGCUAUGUCUCGUGUGUCGGCGGUUCGAGUCCGCUCACAGUUC
rnacentral:tRNA from 1 species